rnacentral:rRNA from 1 species
UGGGGAAUCUUCCGCAAUGGACGAAAGUCUGACGGAGCAACGCCGCGUGAGUGAAGACGGCCUUCGGGUUGUAAAGCUCUGUGAUCCGGGACGAAAGAGCCUGAGGUGAAUAGCCUAAGGAAGUGACGGUACCGGAAAAGCAAGCCACGGCUAACUACGUGCCAGCAGCCGCGGUAAUACGUAGGUGGCAAGCGUUGUCCGGAAUUAUUGGGCGUAAAGCGCGCGCAGGCGGCUUCCUAAGUCCAUCUUAAAAGUGCGGGGCUUAACCCCGUGAUGGGGUGGAAACUGGGAAGCUGGAGUAUCGGAGAGGAAAGUGGAAUUCCUGGUGUAGCGGUGAAAUGCGUAGAGAUUAGGAAGAACACCGGUGGCGAAGGCGACUUUCUGGACGAAAACUGACGCUGAGGCGCGAAAGCGUGGGGAGCAAACAGG